AAGGGCAAGUGUACUUAACAUAGUCUAGUGUGUUAUUGAGUAGACAAGAUCAACAUUGUGAUGGAAAAAUACAUUCAACAAGGCUAGACAUAAAAAAGAAAAAGCACCAAAGGAUUUUAUUUCUUGAUCAAAAACCAAUUUUUAAGUAAGUCACACUCAUUUGCUACAUAUAUAUUUGAACUUCUGCAGACGUAUUGUUGCCCUACAAUCUCUAUUUAGGGUAACACAAACUGUUUCGGCACAAAAAUCUGCCCCUAGUCAAUUGUUAAGUAAUAAAUUCUAUACAAAUGUAAUAGACAAAAAUUUUCGUACAUGUACCUGC